UACGAACCCGAAGGACACAGUGAGCAUGAAUUCGAUUGAGCAUGCGUACCUGGUGGACAGACGACUGCAACACACACAUGUGAAAUGAGAAUACUACACGUCUUCUAAUGAUCUAGAGCAAGAGAAAUAACGGGAGGAUUUACAACAUAAAUCAUAGAUACUUCGAAUUCCUUUAAACACAAGACACACCUAAUAAUGUGAAUGGGGAAUAAAGUGAGAACUCUAUGUACUACACGUACCUGGGACGUUUACAUCAACUGAACAGGGAAUGCCAUCGGGAUCUGGAACUGGGCUAUUGCAAAGACGAGAUCGCGAUUUAUGCCCCCCUCCACAAGACGCUGAACAUUCACUGUACGACCCCCAGGCGCUCCAUCCACCAUUAAC